rnacentral:rRNA from 1 species
UACAGAGGGGGCGAGCGUUGUUCGGAAUCACUGGGCGUAAAGCGCACGUAGGCGGCUUCUUAAGUCAGGGGUGAAAUCCUGGAGCUCAACUCCAGAACUGCCUUUGAUACUGGGAAGCUCGAGUCCGGGAGAGGUGAGUGGAACUCCGAGUGUAGAGGUGAAAUUCGUAGAUAUUCGCAAGAACACCAGUGGCGAAGGCGGCUCACUGGCCCGGUACUGACGCUGAGGUGCGAAAGCGUGGGGAGCAAACAGG